UGGGGAAUAUUGGACAAUGGGGGGAACCCUGAUCCAGCCAUGCCGCGUGUGUGAAGAAGGCCUUAUGGUUGUAAAGCACUUUAAGCGAGGAGGAGGGUACUGGUAUUAAUACUACCAGGUACUGGACGUUACUCGCAGAAUAAGCACCGGCUAACUCUGUGCCAGCAGCCGCGGUAAUACAGAGGGUGCGAGCGUUAAUCGGAUUUACUGGGCGUAAAGCGUGCGUAGGCGGCUAAUUGAGUCGGAUGUGAAAUCCCCGAGCUUAACUUGGGAAUUGCAUUCGAUACUGGUUAGCUAGAGUGUGGGAGAGGAUGGUAGAAUUCCAGGUGUAGCGGUGAAAUGCGUAGAGAUCUGGAUGAAUACCGAUGGCGAAGGCAGCCAUCUGGCCUAACACUGACGCUGAGGUACGAAAGCAUGGGGAGCAAACAGG
rnacentral:rRNA from 1 species